CCUACGGGAGGCUGCAGUGGGGAAUAUUGGGCAAUGGGCGCAAGCCUGACCCAGCAACGCCGCGUGAAGGAAGAAGGCCUUCGGGUUGUAAACUUCUUUUUUCAGGGACGAAGCAAGUGACGGUACUUGCGGAAUAAGCCACGGUUAACUACGUGCCAGCAGCCGCGGUAAUACGUAGGUGGCAAGCGUUAUCCGGAUUUACUGGGUGUAAAGGGCGGGUAGGCGGGAAGGCAAGUCAGAUGUGAAAACCAUGGGCUCAACCUGUGGCCUGCAUUUGAAACUGUUUUGCUUGAGUACUGGAGAGGCAGACGGAAUUCCUGGUGUAGCGGUGAAAUGCGUAGAUAUUAGGAGGAACACCGGUGGCGAAGGCGGUCUGCUGGACAGCAACUGACGCUGAGGCGCGAAAGCGUGGGGAGCAAACAGGAUUAGAUACCCGAGUAGUC
rnacentral:rRNA from 1 species